rnacentral:rRNA from 1 species
UGAAACCGUAUGCUUACAAAAAGUUAGAGCCCGUUAAUGGGUGAUGGCGUGCCUUUUGUAGAAUGAACCGGCGAGUUAUGGUAUUAUGCAAGGUUAAGUCUAAAGGGACGGAGCCGAAGCGAAAGCGAGUCUUAAUAGGGCGGUAAGUUGAAUGCUGUAGACCCGAAACCCGGCGAGCUAGCCAUGAGCAGGUUGAAGUUUGAGUAAAAUCAAAUGGAGGACCGAACUAGGGCCUGUUGAAAAAGGCUUGGAUGACUUGUGGCUAGGGGUGAAAUUCCAAUCGAGCUGGGAUAUAGCUGGUUCUCCCCGAAAUAACUUUAGGGCUAGCGUUAAACAAGAGUUUUAUGAAGGUAGAGCACUGAAUAGUAGAUGGUCCCACCUCGGGAUACUGACAUUAAUCAAACUCCGAAUGUCAUAAAACGCGUUUAGCAGUCAGACUGCGAGUGAUAAGGUCCGUGGUCAAAAGGAAAAGAGUCCAGACCGCCAAAUAAGGUCCCAAAAUAUAUGCUAAGUGGAGAAGGAUGUAGAGAUGCCUAAACAACUAGGAUGUUGGCUUAGAAGCAGCCAUCAUUUAAAGAGUGCGUAAUAGCUCACUAGUCGAGUGACUCCGCGCCGAAAAUGUACCGGGGCUAAGCAUAUUACCGAAUUUGCGGAUUCGAUACGAAAGUAUUGAGUGGUAGGGGAGCGUUCCAUACUGGGAAGAAGCAAGAUCGAGAGGACUUGUGGACUAUAUGGAAGUGAGAAUGCCGGUGUGAGUAACGAAAAGACAGGUGAGAAUCCUGUCCGUCAAAAACCCAAGGUUUCCAGGGGAAGGGUCGUCCGCCCUGGGUAAGUCUGGGCCUAAGGUGAGGCCGAGAGGCGUAGCUGAUGGAUAUCUGGUGUAUAUUCCAGAACUAGUAUAAUGACUGAUGGAGUGACGAAGAAGGCUAGGAUCCGAUUCUUAGUGGAUUGAAUACGAGAUAUCAAGAGGGGAUGUAGGCAAAUCCGCAUCUAGAAAUCAAGAUAUGACAGGUAAAGGAUAACGAAGUCAAGCUUCCAAGAAAAGCUUCUAGGGUUAAUCAUUAUACUACCAGUACCGUAAACCGACACAGGUGGGUAGGAAGAGAAUUCUAAGACGCGCGAGAAAACCCUUGUUAAGGAACUCUGCAAGUUGGCCCCGUAAGUUCGCAAUAAGGGGAGCUCAUGUAAAAGUGAGCCACAGAAAAGAAGCCCAAGCAACUGUUUAACAAAAACACAGGUUUAUGCAAAACCGUAAGGUGAAGUAUAUGAGCUGACACCUGCCCGGUGCUGGAAGGUUAAAAGGAGAGGUUAGAGCAAUCGAAGCCUUGAAUUGAAGCCCCAGUAAACGGCGGCCGUAACUAUAACGGUCCUAAGGUAGCGAAAUUCCUUGUCAGGUAAGUUCUGACCCGCACGAAAGGUGUAAUGUCUUUGGGCACUGUCUCAACAGGGGACUCGGUGAAAUCAAACUGCCGGUGAAAAUGCCGGCUACCCGCGAUUAGACGGAAAGACCCCAUGGAGCUUUACUGUAGGUUGAUAUUGAUAUUUGGUAUGUAAUGUACAGGAUAGGUGGGAGACUAUGAAGCUAGGACGUUAGUCUUGGUGGAGUCGACGUUGGGAUACCACCCUUUGCCUAUCGAGUAUCUAACUAGUGUAAGUGGAUUACAAAGGACAGUGUCAGUUGGGCAGUUUGACUGGGGCGGUCGCCUCCUAAAGAGUAACGGAGGCGCUCGAAGGUUCCCUCAGAAUGGUUGGAAAUCAUUCGCAGAGUGUAAACGCAGAAGGGAGCUUGACUGCAAGACAAACAAGUCGAGCAGGGACGAAAGUCGGAGUUAGUGAUCUUACGGUACCGCGUGGAAGGGCCGUGA